rnacentral:misc_RNA from 1 species
CAGCUUGGUCGGGCCCAUGUUCUGGCCGUUUAUGUAAACUUCCGGCGGCGUAUCGAUCCGCGGAUUAGCCACUUCAAAUGUGAGCAGGGCCAUGAGUGGUUCCGAUUCAAUCCCGAACUGAAACGCCGCGCCUUCAGGCAAAGUCGUCCCGAUGCGGAUUGUUUCGGGCGACAACGUCGCCUUCACCGCACCGAAUUGCUCGAUAUCCUGGAUAGGAGCGUGCAAUGGUG